UGGACCGGAGGGAGGCAUUUCCUGGGGACGGUUAGUUCUGUGUCCCAGCCAAACCAAGGAUCUGCAAUGGGGCGCGACGGCCAGAGGCUCCAGAAAAGGGAACUAAUGUUGCUGUUGCUACCUGGAUUGAAGAAAGGUCGUUCCACAUUUGAGAUUGCUCCAGAGAUGGGGCUACUACCUCAGGUGGAUUCUUCACACACAGGUGAAGGCUUACAGUUGUCCUGAGAUGAGUUGAGGUAGGGAAUAUCUGUAACAUCCUAGAUAUGGGUUUCUCUAUCAGAUGUUCCAAAGAUGUCACUCCCCAUCCACAUCAGCAAGCUUUCUCUCAUUGCUCAUCUCCAGUCUCUCAAAACAUGGUUAAAACUUCCAUAAAUCCCCAUUUGUCCCUCUCCCCUUCAACAAAUAUAUUGGCAGCUCUUGUCUUAAGACAGUUUUUCUUAGUUCCCGGUGGGAAUUAUACUAAACCGGUAUGUGGACAAAUGUAGAGCCUUUCUUCAUACCUCCUAGUCUGGGCCUUGGGAAGAAGGGAAGCAAAGUUCUGAGUUGUCCUUUGUUCUGGUGUUUUGUCUGGGCCAUAUUAAACUUCUCAGAAGUCUUCUGUUUGUACAUUUACAAGGGCAUGGGUAGUUACCAAAAACUUGCUAGAGCCUUGUAUGUUGGACCAAAUGUAACAAACCCUGAGUGCCUAUAUGGGAGAUCUCUAAGUCCUGCUUUUAGAACAGAAGGGGCUGCUGUACUCCUUGCUCCCUGGCUCCAGCUGUCUUUUGGCAGACUGCCCUCCUGUGCUUCAUGUUACCCCUUCCCUCCAUCUCAUGUCCCUAGCAUCUCCCAUUUUUCACCUGUGUAUCAUAGAAGGAUUCUCCUUUAGGUGGGUGGUAGAGGUACUGUUGUGUAAAGGGAAGAACAUUGAAUUUGGAGGCAGAUCUGACUAAAUCCCAUCUUUGUUGCUGUGUGACCAUUGCCUUCUCUGGACUCAGUUCCUCCAUAAGAGGGUGGGAGGAGGGCAGAUGGUUUUGUAAGGUCCCAGAAUUCACAAAUCCUGUGCUAUUGGCAUUAAAUUCAUAUUCUGGAGCUGGUUGGCUCUGGUCCCUGUUCCCUUCUGCCUCUUUUGUUUUUGGAGUAAGUGGGUUAAGGGGCUUGCUUAGGGUCACAAAGCUGAGUAUUUGAGGCUGUAUUUGAACUCAGGUCCUCUUCACUUUGGGGCCAGUACUCUGUCCACUGCUGCCACCUAGUUGCCCCUCCCUUUUCAUUCUUGAAAGAUAGUUGUAGCUGAAUCUUAACACUAGCAGCUUUUCUCUUCCCAAUGGAAGCUUCAAGCCUGAAGGGGAUGGACUGUUCUCUAUUCCUUGUCUCUUAAAUUUAAUUUGAACUCUGUUUGAUUCAUGGUUUUCUUAUUCUCAACAUUCCUGGUUGGUCAAGUAUCUCAUUGACUCCUAAAUUGCUAUUCUCUCACCCCCAUAUGAUGUCAAUUCUUUUCAAAUGCCACUGUCAAAAUUGAAGGAUACUGCAUUCAUCUCCGAUUUCUCAAAACAUGAUUAAAACUUCCAUAAAUCUGCA